CCUUCCGACAAGUCUUCGACUUGUCUCGAGGUAUGAACCUUCCCGUGCUUUUUAGAACAUAGAUGGCACCAGUCAGGUGACCAUCGAAACGCAAUACGUCACGGAGCCUUCAUGGCCCGAUGAUAUGGCGAGCUUUCGCCGUCCACGUUUCUCUUUCUUCAAAAGGAUAUCGAACCAUUGGUUUGCGCUCACGCGCUGUUCGCACCUUCGGUGCUGCGCUCCGCGAGGGCGCCGGACGACCGGCGACGGCCUCUGGCCUGUAUGGGUGAUCCUUUCCGAGGUUUAUCCGGAUUGGGCGCUGCGCAGAGAGAUGGGCCCGUAGCUCAGUUGGUUAGAGCACACGCUUGAUAAGCGUGGGGUCGGAAGUUCAAGUCUUCCCGGGCCCACCAUUUGCAUCUGCGAAUGAGAUUUGCUGUAGCGAAUAGUGGUUUGUUUGGGUUUACCUGAUCCUGACGGUUUGCUGUCAGGUGUUUGCGAUGGUUGGGGCUGUAGCUCAGCUGGGAGAGCACCUGCUUUGCAAGCAGGGGGUCAGCGGUUCGAUCCCGCUCAGCUCCACCAAUUCGCUUGGUGUCGAGACUGAGAGAUAUCCUUUGAAGAAAUAAAAGUUUGCAUCGGCUUUGAGCCUGAUGCCUGUUCUGCAUACAUUGUGAAGAGAAGAUUGAUCUGGAGGCUUCCAGGUGUUUUGGGUUUAGGCCCAGGACGUCCGAGCCCAGUUCKUGUGAAWCCAKGGAUGGCCUASCCGKCCGGAUGUGGUGGAGGGACUGGAGGUAGGAAGGAAGCUUGUCGCUCUGGAUSGUCAGMGUAAACCGCGCAGCKGUUUAUCGYGKGUUGUUCRGYGCCUUCGKGCRUYGUCUGACGGACGAUCGGAUUACCGUUGCCUGACCGCGCGGUAUCGGAUCAUAUCUCGAGAAGCUGGUCUUAAGACCUGACACAAGCGAGCUGCUCGGCGUAGCUCCAAUAAAGUGAUCAGGUCGAACACGUCGAUGGCAUUGUUGGAUUGACUGGGUUGUAAAAGGUAACCCGGUCUGUUGCCGUUUCCUUUGGGGAUGGUGGCGAGAUGAUGAGCAUUGGCAAUGAGAACGAUUAAGUGUCGUAAGGGCAUUUGGUGGAUGCCUUGGCAUGCACAGGCGAUGAAGGACGUGAUACGCUGCGAAAAGCCGUGGGGAG
rnacentral:misc_RNA from 1 species